rnacentral:rRNA from 1 species
UUGUAGCCUGCUAUGGUAUAACUUAGUGGCAGACGGGUGAGUAAUAUAUAGGAAUCUACCUAGUAGUACGGAAUAAUUGUUGGAAACGGCAAAUAAUACCGUAUACGCCCUACGGGGGAAAAAUUUUUUGCUAUUAGAUGAGCCUAUAUUAGACUAGCUAGUUGGUGGAGUAAUAGCCUACCAAGGCAAUGAUCUAUAGCUGAUCUGAGAGGAUGAUCAGCCACACUGGAACUGAGAUACGGUCCAGACUCCUACGGGAGGCAGCAGUGGGGAAUAUUGGACAAUGGGCGAAAGCCUGAUCCAGCCGUGCCGCAUGAGUGAAGAAGGCCUUUGGGUUGUAAAGCUCUUAUAGUGAGGAAGAUAAUGACGGUACUCACAGAAGAAGUCCUGGCUAACUCCGUGCCAGCAGCCGCGGUAAUACGGAGAGGGCUAGCGUUAUUCGGAAUUAUUGGGCGUAAAGGGCGCGUAGGCUGGUUAGUAAGUUAAAAGUGAAAUCCCGAGGCUUAACCUAGGAACUGCUUUUAAAACUGCCAACCUAGAGAUUGAAAGAGGAUAGAGGAAUUCCUAGUGUAGAGGUGAAAUUCGUAAAUAUUAGGAGGAACACCAGUGGCGAAGGCGUCUAUCCGGUUCAAAUCUGACGCUGAGGCGCGAAGGCGUGGGGAGCAAGCAGGAUUAGAUACCCUGGUAGUCCACGCUGUAAACGAUGAAUGUUAAAUAUGGGAAGUUUACUUUCUGUAUUACAGCUUAUGCGUUAAACAUUCCGCCUGGGGACUACNGUCGCAAGAUUAAAACUCAAAAGAAUUGACGGGGACCCGCACAAGCGGUUUAGCAUGUGGUUUAAUUCGAUGCNACGCGAAAAACCUUACCACUCCUUGACAUGAAAAUCAUACCUAUUC